rnacentral:snRNA from 1 species
GGCUCAAUGGGUAGUCGCCA